rnacentral:lncRNA from 1 species
CAAAGGAGCCGUCGAUUUCAAAACCAUCAACUUUCAAAGCCAGGUCCCUCCCUUGCCUUACAACCUCCUGUUACUUGUUAAGCACGUUUGUUAGGCGGCUGGACAGAAACUUAGUUAAAAGUCCUCAGCCCGGUGGUGGGGGACAACCGAGUCGUCAGUGGGAAGCGAGAGGUGCGGAGCCCCAGGGGCGCAGGGACCCCUCGGAGGUGCAAGUCCAGCGGGACGAGGUUUUGGGAGAAUUUCGAGGGCCCCUCGCAAGCCCUCCCGCGCACCCACCCCGACCCAGCGCCGGACAGCUGGCAGGACUCCGGUGGACGCCCCGGCACGGGGCAUUUUCACGUUGUCGCUCUCCUCUUCCCACUCGAAAAGCUCUGGAAAACAUCGCGGGGCCCGCAAAACCCCGGAAAUGUGGCCUCUCUUUCGUGGCUCACUUUCUAAACUUUCCAGAAGGCGCAAAGUUUCUCCCAGCGCCGCCCUGCACUGGAGGCUGCGAAGAACGCAGAAGCGGCUUUGCUGCUAGGAAGGAUUUCCGGAGUGAUCACAAUUAUCGGCCUCUCGCUCCACAGCUAAGGCCACCGCAUAUCAAAAAUAGCAGCGUGUGAGUAAAAGUUUCAUGAGCCCUCGCCUUGAAAUGGCACAGAGGACACAGCACACCAGCAGUAAGGCAUGGGGACUCGGCAGGACUGAUCUGAUUGAGAGAAACGCAGGACAGCGAGGCGGGGCUAUGUUGGUGGUGGCCACCAGGUAACCGUGGGCUUUGCAGAAGAGAAAGGUCACUGCAAACCGUAGCUGGACGGAAACUUUUCAAGCCUCAAGUGAGUUAUGCUGUGACGGGACCAUGACCAUCUCCCACCGGUGACUGCUUAGAACCUUGACCAAGCUCGUGUGGUUUUCACAGGAUGCUCAGGGCUGAGUCCUGGCUGUAAAUAAUUUACUAUCUAAAGCUGUUUCCUUUUAAAAACAAUGGUUCUAAUCUUUUUUUUAAAAAAAAUCAUUCAAAUCUUUUUUAAAAAUCCACUUUAAAUAACUUUGCUUUCUAUACCUUUCCUACGAAUAUAUGAUUUAUUUUAUAACCUACUAUGUGAAAAAAUUGAAAUUUUAGUACAUGCACAGUGCUAAUAUGUUCAUGCACAAUGCUACUUAUGUUUGUGUACGGCAUGCAGAAAUGUGUAUAGAUAUGUAUACCCAUGAAUACAAACCACUCCCUUAUCUCACAAAUAAUCAUAGGGGUUGAUACCAAACUAUAAGAAAUAUUAUAUUGGGAUGAAUAGGCAAAUGUUCACUAUAAAAUCUCAGUAUCAUAAAAAGUAUAUAUUGGUAAGAAAAAAAUAUACUCGAAAGAGGUUUCCAUAUAUUUUUAACCAUAGCUCUACUCAAGUCAAAAAAUCACUUAUUAGCUAAUUUUCCCGUCUCUUUCUUCCUAUACACUGUACUUACUAUCAGAUUUCUUAACACCAAUACUUCUAUAUCUAAUAUAAAGACAUUUUAAAAUUAAUUAUUUCCAUGUUUAGCCUUUCCCCAUAAAUCAAAGGUAAAGUAAAAGGAGUUUCUUACCUACCACUCAACUUGAAUAUUUUUAAUAUGUUGAUUUUGUCUCUUACCUUCUUAAGGAAUACAGUUGCUUCUGUUUUGACUAUCUUAACUACUCUGUGGCCCCUUCUAACAUCAAAUUGGGAGGCCUGUCCGUACAAGACAUGUGUAUUCAACAGUAAGUUAUUUGCUAUAAAACACUUCAUUUCCUCUUUAUUUGGUCUGCUGUGGCCUGAAAUGAAAUAUAGAACAAACUGAAAGGUCUGCCUGGACAGACCUGUCUUCCUGACAAGCGUGGACCUGUCUAAAUGAGACAGCUUCUGCAGCCAGCUUUAGAUCGAUAACUCUAAAAUUAAAUGUAGGUAUGUACAUCCAGUAGAAAAGGACAGAGAAAAUGAAAUACAAUACAGAAUUCAGUUCAGCAUCUAGAUUAAUCCAUAAAACCUAGCUCAUUAUGUUCCAAAUGAGCUACUUUUCUCAUCUGUAAAAUGGAAUAAUGGUACCAGUGCAGUCUUUUAUAUGGUUCCAAGUUGUCUUUUAUCAAAGUAAAAUAAUAUAUUUGGGUGGGCUUCUGAAGACACUAACAUUGAUGAUGAGGUUUCAACAGGAACAAAGAAUACCUUGAUAAAUUUUCUUGAAUGUUUUCUCCUGUCUGUAGUCCUCUUGUCAUUCAGACAUUCCCUUUCUUGGAGAGUCAUCCUGAUGCUUUCUGUCCUAACCUUUCUCUCCUCCCCUCUGCCAAGCAGUAUUUCUUUAGAUUUGUUUCUUCAAAUGACUUCAGCAGAGGUAAAGACCCAAAGACAGCUGGCGCUGUCAAACAUGACAAAAAAUAUUCUUAGCCACAGUGGCUCAUGCUUGUAAUCCCAGCAUUUUGGGAGGCUGAGGCGAGAGGAGCGCUUGAGCCCAGGAGUUCGAAGCUGCAGUGAGCUGCCAUUGUGCCACUGCACUCCAGCCUGGGCAACAGCCAGGCCCUGUCUCUUAAAAAGUUUUAAAAUUUUUAAAUAUAUAUGUAUGUUCAGCAAAAUGAAGCCAGGCAUGGUGGCUCACACCUGUAAUCCCAGCACCUUGGGAGGCCAAGGUGGGCAGAUCGCUUGAGGCCAAGAGUUUGAGACCAGCCUGGCCAACAUGUCUGUCUCUACUAAAACCCUGUCUCUACUAAAAAUAUAAAAAUUAGCCGGCAUGGUGGUGCAUGCCUGUAGUCCCAGCUGUUGGGAGGCUGAGGCAUAAGAAUCUCUUGAACUUGGGAGAGAGAGGUUGCAGUGAGCCAAGAUUGCACCACUGCACUCCAGCCUGGGCAACAGAACAAGACUGUGUCUCAGAAAAAGUUCAGCAAAAUGAAACAUUGUGAUGGAUAUUUCAAGUUCAGGUUUUACAUUAAUAUCUGGAAGGACACCAUAGACUUUGUCAGACUAUUGAUAUAAGCUAGUGAUCCAAGGACUAUAAUUUGAGAAGCAUUUCGGGUGGAAAAAUUGGCUGUCACUGCCUUUGGCACUAUUAUUUGUUCAAAAGGUUCCCCAGUCAUGGCACACUCAUGGAAGAGUUCUCUCUUCCUCCCUCUGUUCGCUUCCCUCUGGCAAAAAGCUUUUGAAAUUUUCUGUUCGAGAGUAAUCAAAACUAUCAGCAAAACGAUCUGUUGGAAACUUUCCCUCCAGUCUAUUAAGGUAGAGACUGAUUCAAAGACAGUAUUUUGGUGAAACAAUACCCUGAGAGAACUCAGCCUUUUCCGGAAAGUUUUGCAGAUGAUGCCUCCAGGCAUAGUUUUCUUCCUCCUUGAAAUGGGGUAUUUGUGCCUCUCCAGUGUUUUUCCCCUUGGCUAGGGGGGAAAAAAAAGCAUUCUCCUUAGGAAACCUUUCUAUUUUAAAAGUCCAGCGGCAAAGGUGGGUGGGGCAGCCCAAUUUAGUAAAAAGUAAUAAUAAUAACACUCUUCAGAGUGCAGGUGGCAUAAGGAGAUUCCAAGAAUGGAGAGAAUUUGGGUUUGCAUGCAGCAGCCUCCUGCAAGGACUAGGCUGCAAUGAAAGCCCCAAACAGAGUAACUCUGUGUUCACCUUUUUCUUAUCACAUACAUCUGCAUGAAUACUCUGGGUAACAUCAGAAGUAGGUCAAGGCUAGCAGAUCCUUUCUCUGUAGUCUCCCUCAUCCAAAAUAAAAAAGGCUUAGAUCUAAAACAGAGUGAAGAAAGACAAGGAAAAGGAAAAAAAUAUAUGUGUGUUAUAUAUACAACUAUAAAGCUAAAAAUGGAUCUGGAUACAAAGAAAUCAUAGAAAGGGUCAACAAAACAAAAACCUAGUUCUAUAGAACAAUAGCAAGAUAGAUAAAUUUCUGGUAAAAUUGACAAUGAAAAAAGAGAAAAGAAGGCUAUGAAUAUGGAGAUUAUAAUUACAGUUUCAGUAGAAUUUUUUAAAUCCUAAGAAUACUAUGAACAUUAAAAAACUUGGCUGAA